rnacentral:rRNA from 1 species
UACGGGGGGGGCAAGCGUUGUUCGGAAUUACUGGGCGUAAAGGGCGGGUAGGCGGCCACCGCAAGUCGACUGUGAAAUCUCCGGGCUUAACCCGGAAAGGUCAGCCGAUACUGCGGGGCUAGAGUGCAGAAGGGGCAACUGGAAUUCUCGGUGUAGCGGUGAAAUGCGUAGAUAUCGAGAGGAACACCUGCGGCGAAGGCGGGUUGCUGGGCUGACACUGACGCUGAACUGCGAAAGCUAGGGGAGCGAACGGG